GACGAACGCUGGCGGCGUGCCUAAUACAUGCAAGUCGAACGAACCGCGACUAGGUGCUUGCACUUGGUCAAGGUGAGUGGCGAACGGGUGAGUAACACGUGGGUAACCUACCUCAUAGUUGGGUAUAACAGUCGGAAACGACUGCUAAUACCGCAUAGGACAUAGGAUCACAUGAUCCAGUGAGGAAAGGUGGCGCAAGCUAUCGCUAAGAGAUGGACCCGCGGUGCAUUAGCUAGUUGGUAGGGUAAAGGCCUACCAAGGCGAUGAUGCAUAGCCGACCUGAGAGGGUGAUCGGCCACAUUGGGACUGAGACACGGCCCAAACUCCUACGGGAGGCAGCAGUAGGGAAUCUUCCGCAAUGGACGCAAGUCUGACGGAGCAACGCCGCGUGAGUGAAGAAGGUCUUCGGAUCGUAAAGCUCUGUUGUUAGAGAAGAACAGCGCAUAGAGUAACUGUUAUGCGUGUGACGGUAUCUAACCAGAAAGCAACGGCUAACUACGUG
rnacentral:rRNA from 1 species